UUAAGUGAACAAGGGCAUACGGCGGAUGCCUUGGCGCCAAGAGCCGAUGAAGGACGCGGUAAGCUGCGAAAAGGCAUGGGUAGGAGCAAGCAUCCAGUGAUCCAUGCAUAUCCGAAUGGGGCAACCCACCAUCAGUCAUGUGAUGGUACGAAAGAGGCAGACCUGGGGAACUGAAACAUCUAAGUACCCAGAGGAAAAGUAAUCAAUUGAGAUUCCCUAAGUAGCGGCGAGCGAAAGGGGAAGAGCCCAAACCAGAUAACUUCGGUUGUCUGGGGUUGAGGACCGGCAAAAAGAGGAAACUUCUUAGUCGAAUGGUUUGGAAAGGCCAUGCACAGAAGGUAAAACACCUGUAGGCGAAAAGAAGUCAAUCGGGCUGGUAUCCAGAGUACUGCGAGACACGUGAAACCUUGCAGGAAGCAGGGGGGACCACCCUCCAAGGCAAAAUACUACUUGGCGACCGAUAGCGCAUAGUACCGUGAGGGAAAGGUGAAAAGAACCCCGGGAGGGGAGUGAAAUAGAACCUGAAACCGUAUGUCUACAAGCAGUCGAAGCACCUUAAGAGUGCGACGGCGUGCCUAUUGAAGAAUGAACCGGCGAGUUACAUUAUGUUGCGAGGUUAAGUGGGAGACACGGAGCCGAAGCGAAAGCGAGUCUUAAUAGGGCGACUAGUAACAUGGUGUAGACCCGAAACCGCAGUGAUCUAUCCAUGGUCAGGUUGAAGCGCAGGUAAAAAUGCGUGGAGGACCGAACCCGUGAGUGUUGAAAAACUUUGGGAUGAACCGUGGAUAGGGGUGAAAUGCCAAUCGAACGCGGAGAUAGCUGGUACUCCCCGAAAUAGCUUUAGGGCUAGCCUCAGGGAAGAUUAUAGACGGUAGAGCACUGAUCUGGCAAGGGGGCGUAAAGCCUACCGACCCUAGUCAAACUUCGAAUGGCUAUAAUUAAGACCCUGGGAGUCAGACUGCGAGUGAUAAGACCCGUAGUCAAGAGGGAAACAGCCCAGACCGCCGACUAAGGUCCCCAAUGCUGUACUAAGUGGAAAAGGAUGUAAGACUUCAUAAACAACCAGGAUGUUGGCUUAGAAGCAGCCACCAUUAAAAGAGUGCGUAAUAGCUCACUGGUCGAGAGGCCUUGCGCCGAAGAUGUCCGGGGCUCAAGUACAGAACCGAAGUCGCGGCAGGAUUAUAUAAUUCUGGGUAGGGGAGCGUUGUAUAUCCGACUGAAGGUGUACCGGAAGGAGCGCUGGAGGAUAUACAAGAGAGAAUGCCGGUAUGAGUAGCGAAAAGAACAGUGAGAAUCUGUUCCACCGAAAGCCUAAGGUUUCCUGAGCAACGCUCGUCGACUCAGGGUAAGUCGGGACCUAAGCCGAGGCAAAAAGCAUAGGCGAUGGACAACAGGUUAAUAUUCCUGUACCGCUUCAAAUCGUUUGAGCAAUGGAGUGACACAGAAGGUAGCUUGAGCACGCGAAUGGAUGUGCGUGUCGAAGGUGGUAGGUUGCAGUAUAGGUAAAUCCGUACUGUAUAAGACCGAGAACUGAUAGAUAGACGAUACUUCGGUAAAGUCAAAUUCAAGUGAGCCAUGCUGUCGAGAAAAGCUUCUAGUGAGAGAUGAGGCGCCCGUACCGAAACCGACACAGGUAGGCGGGGAGAGAAUCCUAAGGUGCGCGGGACAACCCUCGUUAAGGAACUCGGCAAAUUGUAUCCGUAACUUAGGGAUAAGGAUAGCCGGAGGAUGUGAAGGGAUUUACUUCUGGAGCGUCAGCCGGUGGCACAAGAGAGGCCCAAGCGACUGUUUAGCACAAACACAGGUGCCUGCAAAAGAGAAAUCUGACGUAUAGGUGCUGACACCUGCCCGGUGCUGGAAGGUUAAGAGGAGGGCUUAGAGGAAACUCGAAGGCUUGAAUUGAAGCCCCAGUAAACGGCGGCCGUAACUAUAACGGUCCUAAGGUAGCGAAAUUCCUUGUCGGGUAAGUUC
rnacentral:rRNA from 1 species